rnacentral:rRNA from 1 species
ACUCCUACGGGAGGCAGCAGUGGGGAAUAUUGCACAAUGGGGGAAGCCCUGAUGCAGCCAUGCCGCGUGUGUGAAGAAGGCCUUCGGGUUGUAAAGCACUUUCAGUAGGGAGGAAGGUAGUGUAGUUAACACCUGCACUAUUUGACGUUACCUACAGAAGAAGCACCGGCUAACUCCGUGCCAGCAGCCGCGGUAAUACGGAGGGUGCGAGCGUUAAUCGGAAUUACUGGGCGUAAAGCGCAUGCAGGCGGCCUGUUAAGUCAGAUGUGAAAGCCCGGGGCUUAACCUCGGAAUUGCAUUUGAAACUGGCAGGCUAGAGUCUUGUAGAGGGGGGUAGAAUUUCAGGUGUAGCGGUGAAAUGCGUAGAGAUCUGAAGGAAUACCAGUGGCGAAGGCGGCCCCCUGGACAAAGACUGACGCUCAGAUGCG